GCCCCACUGGACUUCAUUUGAGUUGCUGACCCUCAAAAACCAAUCCGUCCAUCCCACGGUAGGACUGGGCCAAGAACGGAAAGUAUCCUUCCACAGAUCCAAAGAAAUGUUCUCGACUCUAAAAGGGAUCCUGUUGGUUUCUGCAUUGAUGAGGUCGGUUGGAUCUGGAUCCCCUAACGGGUCAAGGCAUUGGAGGUGUGGU
rnacentral:lncRNA from 1 species